ACUUUAUUUAUCUAUCUAUUUAUUUAUGUAUUUAUUUAUUUUUCUUCCUUAUUUUAAUCUUCUCUAUCCCAGAUUCUUUUUGCCUCAGUUUGAAACAUGGUUGCUUUGUGCACUGAUUACUUUGUUAAAUCAUUUCUAUGCUGGUUGCAGUUUGAAUUAAGUGUUUUUUGAAGACUGCUGAUCUGUUUUUGCCAUGAUUGUCUUUUAUUGUUAUCUUAACAUGUCAUCGUCCCUUUGGGAAAUGGCUUACUUGCUGGCUUACAUCUUGAAUGCAUCCCAGGCAUACGUGUAUGUAUCAUUUCUACAUGGUUUUGCUUCAUUCUUCUGACUAGUUACAAAAAAGACCACUUUUUACAUAAUACUAUUUCCUGCUCUGCUUCUACCUGGAGCUCUUAUUCUAGAUGUUAUAAUCUCUCUCCCUGUGUUACUGUGUUCUGAAUGUUGAGCCCUAUCCCUAAACAGUUCUAGUUUGAAUAUGCCAGACAAUGCUGUUCCUGUCAGUUUCUAAUUCCAUCAGGUAAACAAAACAAAGAAGCAAAUAUUCACAUGAAAAUCUUCCACAAGCUCAACCUAGAUGAGAAGGUGAAUGAAUAUUGAUUUUCUAGGCAAAACAGAAAUGAAAGUGAGACAACUUCCAAAAUGUCCCAAAGAGUGUCCCAGGAAAAAGUAGAAAAAGCAGGCACAUGGAUGUACACACACACAAACAGAGGAGUUUUUCUGUGGUUUCCUGCUUGCUGAAAAAGGAUGGGAGCCAUUUCAUAAGGAUUUAACAACUGAAAUACUUGGGACAAUAUUUCUUCUCAAAACCAUUCAAAUUUGUCACUGUCAACAUGUAAAUGGACUGGGAGAAGAAUGAGAUUCAGCAGCUUUGUUCUAAAUGUACCGUAUCUGAGGAGCUGUUUAUCUGUGUUCAGAACUGACUGCAUUUCAUAGCAGUCAGCAAAGGUUUUUAUGUGUGGAGUAUCUACAUCAGUUCAGAAUUAGGUUCCUUGCAGCCCCAUUAUUCAGAGUUUGAUGGCUUCUAAGAUUUCUUUGUAUGGUAGGAAAAGGUAGAAUGUUUUAAAAUAAUAGCUGUUUAUUAUCAUUUGCAACAAAAUGUUUUUGUUGAAUUGAGAGUUUUAAUCAAAAAUCUUGAAGGACUCUUUUCAAAAUCUACAUAUUAAAAAUUCAUGUUGAUAUCUUAAAGAAUUUUCCUAAAAAAUAAACUUGGAUAGUAUUUUGGGGAAUCAAAAUGAGAGUUUUGAUUUUAAUUAAGAUUUGUUCUGAAUUUUGAACUGUGUUGCAGAGCACCCUUUAAAGAGUAUGGUCGGUUACAUACUUUUUGGAAUAUGUCACUGCUCCUUCUGACAGUGGCAUGAUUCCUACUUUUUAUGUGCUUUCUAAGCCUCCUUUGCCUUACAACCUUCCUGAUGCAGGUCUUUAUGUUGCAGGUACAAUUUCAAUGUUUGUUUCUGAUUCAUUCUUAAAAGCACCUUAAACCAACUAAAUGAUCCUAAAUGAGCCAUCCAGCGGAAGUAGUCAAAUUAGCUCAAUUUUACUGUACCUAUAUUGCUUCUUCUGCAGUGCUGACUACAGUGCAUGACUCUUAACAUUUGUCUACAGAAACCUCCAGGCUCUUAACCAAGUCUGGGAAUAGGAGUAUCAUCUCACCUAACACAGACCUUCAGCAACCAGCUUUCAGGAUUAAACCCAUAUGUAAUCCAUCAGUGAUACCAGAAUGUGCUGUGGCCUCUAAGCCAUUUUCUGUCUUAAUAGUUGAGGUAGGAGAUUCUCUGUUUUACACGUAGAAAGAUGAGAUGUCUGCUGGUGAGUUUUGAGAUUUCAAAUUGACUGAAAAAUCCAGGAAAUAACUGUUUAUUUUGUCCUGAGACCACUGAAGCCCUCUUCAUGCUUAGGACCUCCUAAAAGAAAAAAAAAAAAAAAAAAAAAAUAUUGUGAAGGACUCAACAAUGUCCUUCUCAGAGUAAUAUUCCAAAUUGCUUUUCGGGAGUCUUGAAAUAUGUUAGUCAAUAUAUCUGUGGUAAUCAAGUUCCAAAACUGAAUAUCUACUUGAGGCAUACAGCCAAGAGUUUUAAAACACUAAUCACACACUACCAGCUGCAGGCAAUUGUGCAGGUUUCCACAUCUCUCUGAAAAUGUUAACUACAGUGUGGUGAAUGUGUGUCUGUUUUCUGUUUGUAGAGAUAUACGAAAAUAGUUUAAGAAAAUGGUUUUUUUCCAUAUGAAUUUUUUGUGUUGUUGGUCAAUUAAGUUUUUCAUGAAAUUACAUUUUCUGUUCAGAAAGAAAGAACACAACAGAUAGAAUGCUUUGAAUAAGUUAUUAUUUUAUGUUUAUUAAAGGGUGCAAUAUUUGUAUUUUACUGAUAAACCCAAAUGCCUAUCAAACAUUGGACUGGUGUAAGAUUGUACAGCUGAGUGUGGUCUAUUCAAUUUUUUGUUUGUUUGUUUUGUUGUUGUUGUUUUUCUUUGUUUUUCACUAGUGGGAAGAGGAAAAGAAGGGCGAGGAGACAGGAAACAGAGGAAAAAGCAGAAGAUUGAUCAGUGGUAAAUAAAAUAAAAUAGCUAUUACAGAAAUCUCCACUUCUGAGUCAAGAGAAUGAGGUAGCAAUCAUACUUGUCAGAGUCACAGUUAAAAGAGAUCUUUUCAGUAAAGCAUCUUUACAUGAGAAUACUCUACAACAGCAAGUUUGCCCAGAAGUGCUCUAAUUAACUAUACCAAAUGGUCUGCUAUUCUGUCAAGUUAAUGCCUUCUAUCUGGCUGUUUAUUGGCCAUCAUGCAUCAUUGUUUGGCGAAUGACAGCAGUCAGGUUAUUAAAGGUGUAGAUAUUAAAUUAACAACAGUGGUAAACAUUGUAGCCGUACUUUACAUCUCAGCAGAGCCAAUGAAGUGGAUGACACUGAAUCCAUGUUGAUAUGCUGCAAUGACAGAUGGGCAUCAUUUAACACAAUACAUCAGUGGGCAACCCACGUACCACAGCUGUCCUGCACUAAAUGAAUUAGAUCAGGGUAAUUAAUCUAAGGCAGAAAGUAUUACUAACGUAGCUCCUAAGCGGAACUGGAAAUGAGUAAAAUAUUAUAUAGAGAAGGAACAACAACAACAACAACAACAACAAAGUAAAAAAAAAGGGCUUAGUGCUUAGUGCUUAAGAGUCUAGAAAAUGACUGUCAAGUAUUUUAAUAUCACGCACAAAAGACAAUGCCUACCUCCUUGUAUGAUGGAAUGUAUGAAGAAUACUCCAUUGUUACCCAAUAUUUUAUCAUAAUCUCUUGUCAUCAUGUAUAACAAGGGAGGCAAUAACCACAAGGGUAAGGGAUCGUGACUAAGAUGUUACAUUUGACACAAUAUUCUAAUUUUAAAAAUAAUCACUUUUAUUAGUUAUAUGAAUUCUUGAUGGAAUUAUUCUUUCUUUUUAUGAAUCCUCUGCUGAAUUUCAUUGAGAUAAUAAACUUCUGUGGCAUUUAUCUGAA